rnacentral:rRNA from 1 species
AUUGAACGCUGGCGGCAGGCCUAACACAUGCAAGUCGAGCGGAUGAAGGGAGCUUGCUCCUGGAUUCAGCGGCGGACGGGUGAGUAAUGCCUAGGAAUCUGCCUGGUAGUGGGGGAUAACGUCCGGAAACGGGCGCUAAUGCCGCAUACGUCCUGAGGGAGAAAGUGGGGGAUCUUCGGACCUCACGCUAUCAGAUGAGCCUAGGUCGGAUUAGCUAGUUGGUGGGGUAAAGGCCUACCAAGGCGACGAUCCGUAACUGGUCUGAGAGGAUGAUCAGUCACACUGGAACUGAGACACGGUCCAGACUCCUACGGGAGGCAGCAGUGGGGAAUAUUGGACAAUGGGCGAAAGCCUGAUCCAGCCAUGCCGCGUGUGAAGAAGGUCUUCGGAUUGUAAAGCACUUUAAGUUGGGAGGAAGGGCAGUAAGUUAAUACCUUGCUGUUUUGACGUUACCAACAGAAUAAGCACCGGCUAACUUCGUG